rnacentral:rRNA from 1 species
UACGGAGGAUGCGAGCGUUAUCCGGAUUUAUUGGGUUUAAAGGGUGCGUAGGCGGCUUUUUAAGUCAGCGGUGAAAUUUCGCAGCUUAACUGUAACAGUGCCGUUGAUACUGGGGAGCUAGGAUUUGGUUGCUGUGGGUGGAAUGUGUGGUGUAGCGGUGGAAUGCUUAGAGAUCACACAGAAUAUCGAUUGCGAAGGCAGCUCACAAAGCCAAGAUUGACGCUGAGGCACGAAAGUGUGGGGAGUCAAACAGGAUUA